GCGUUUGUGGUUUAGUGGUAAAAUCCAUCGUUGCCAUCUUUCGAAAUACAACUUCGAUGGGCCCCGGGUUCGAUUCCCGGCGAACGCA